GCCUGGCUAGCUCAAUCGGUAGAGUAUGAGACUCUUAAUCUCAAGGUUGUGGGUUCGACCCCCACGUUGGGCA
rnacentral:tRNA from 1 species